ACAAUUAGCUGUUGGGACACUAGAUGUCUUAGUAGCGAAGCUAACGCGUGAAAUUGUCCGCCUGGGGAGUACGGUCGCAAGAUUAAAACUCAAAGGAAUUGACGGGGACCCGCACAAGCGGUGGAUGAUGUGGAUUAAUUCGAUGCAACGCGAAGAACCUUACCUGGUCUUGACAUGUACGGAAUCUCUUAGAGAUAGGAGAGUGCCUUCGGGAGCCGUAACACAGGUGCUGCAUGGCUGUCGUCAGCUCGUGUCGUGAGAUGUUGGGUUAAGUCCCGCAACGAGCGCAACCCUUGUCAUUAGUUGCCAUCAUUAAGUUGGGCACUCUAAUGAGACUGCCGGUGACAAACCGGAGGAAGGUGGGGAUGACGUCAAGUCCUCAUGGCCCUUAUGACCAGGGCUUCACACGUCAUACAAUGGUCGGUACAGAGGGUAGCGAAGCCGCGAG
rnacentral:rRNA from 1 species